rnacentral:rRNA from 1 species
CCUACGGGUGGCUGCAGUGAGGAAUAUUGGUCAAUGGGCGGGAGCCUGAACCAGCCAAGCCGCGUGAGGGAAGAAGGUACAGCGUAUCGUAAACCUCUUUUGUCAGGGAACAAAGGCGGGGACUAGUCCCCGGAUGAGUGUACCUGAAGAAAAAGCAUCGGCUAACUCCGGGCCAGCAGCCGCGGUAAUAUGGGGGAUGCGAGUGUUAUCCGUAUUUAUGGGGUUUAAAGGGAGCGCGGGCGGCCGGUUAAGUCAGCGGUAAAAGCCCGGGGCUCCACCCCGGCGAGCCGUUGAAACUUGCGGACUGGAGUUGGAGAGAGGUACGCGGAAUGCGCGGUGUAGCGGUGAAAUGCUUAGAUAUCGCGCAGAACCCCGAUUGCGAAGGCAGCGUACCGGCUCCACACUGACGCUGAGGCACGAAAGCGUGGGUAUCGAACAGGAUUAGAUACCCGAGUAGUC